UGUGUAGGCGGUUUGGUAAGUCUGGUGUGAAAUCUCCCGGCUCAACUGGGAGGGUGCGCCGGAAACUGCCGGACUCGAGUGCGGGAGAGGAAAGUGGAAUUCCUGGUGUAGCGGUGAGAUGCGUAGAUAUCAGGAGGAACACCGGUGGUGUAGACGGCUUUCUGGACCGUAACUGACGCUGAAACACGAAAGCGUGGGUAGCAAACAGGAUUAGAUACCCUGGUAGUCCACGCCCUAAACGAUGCACAUUUGGUGUGGGUCAUUCAGUUGAUCCGUGCCGGAGCUAACGCGUUAAAUGUGCCGCCUGGGGAGUACAGUCGCAAGGCUGAA
rnacentral:rRNA from 1 species